UACCACGCGCCGCCUGCUGCGUCUGCCGAGACUAGAGUAGGGUGGAUGCCAAGUGCGAGUGGGAAGGGUGUUUUGCGCCCAGUGAAGGCGGGCUUGACUUCCAUAUCGGGGAGACCACAAAGAGCUUUAUUGAAGAGAUUCCAGACGAGACCAUAAUUAUAGGUGCGGGCGGAGGGGGAGAGUUUGGAACAAGACCUUGGGGUGGGGAGAGUCAGCUCUUCCAGAGCCGGGAGCAGCCGGUCUCGCCGCGUCCUGGCGUGGGCCGACUCCAUGCCACCUCGCGCUCAUCUGACCUCCAGGAAACUACCGGACGCAUCUGUAUGACAAGCAGCGGAGGAGUACCAGCCGGCCACCCCCGGGCUCGGCAUGUUCGUGGAGGUGAAGGACCCAGAGGACAAGGACUCUAGGUGGAGGGAGGGCAGGGCCAGGACUGGCCGAGACGCGCACCUAUGACCACGGUACCAUCGGGGAUCUCCUGGAUGAAGCACUUCUCCUCCAGCUCGCGGACCUCGAGGGCCAAACGAAAUAACAAAGAGAAGCCGAAGUAGAGAGAAAACCUCCAACUUCUAUGAAACCUUGACGAGGCACACAGUCACAAACUGCUGCCACAAUACACUAGACUAUGGAUCAAAUCCAGGAAGGACACGAAGGGCAGACUCAGACCUCUGUUCAUUUCACACUGCGCGCAGAGACCUCCAAAACGGGGCGACCCUGGCCCAAGACCCCCAAUACUCCUUUACUAGCGGGCCCCUGGGGCACCGAACCACCUUCUGAGAGAAGUCAUCAGGGCAGUGCUCCGGCAGCAACACUCGCGUGGAUGAU